rnacentral:rRNA from 1 species
UACGUAGGGUGCAAGCGUUAAUCGGAAUUACUGGGCGUAAAGCGUGCGCAGGCGGUUGUGCAAGACCGAUGUGAAAUCCCCGGGCUUAACCUGGGAAUGGCAUUGGUGACUGCACGGCUAGAGUGUGUCAGAGGGGGGUGGAAUUCCCGGUGUAGUGGUGAAAUGCGUAGAGAUCGGGAGGAACACCUGUGGCGAAGGCGGCCCCCUGGGCCGGCCCUGACACUGAGACGCGAAGGCGUGGGGAGCGAACGGG